UGUCUGCAGUGCCGGAGGUCUGGGAGGCUCCGGGCGAAGCCUCCCUGCUGCAGGUUAUGAUGAUGUCAGACAAUGCUAAAGGCAGAGCAGCUCAUUCAUGGAAGAAAAGAGGGAGUAUUUCUUCUCUAAGUAAUCAUGAAUUUUGGCGAAAGGAAAUUCAUGGGCGCAUCAAAGACCCUGGAAGUCUGUGGAUUACACAUACAAUGCCUUUUACAGGUGGGAAACUGACUAUAAAGGAGUAGCAAUCCCAGCACAUGUCAGAAGUAAAGCUAAUUUGAGUUUUGUACCACCUCUUCUUCUCCAUGAAUUUUUAAUAUGGUGUUCAGUAGAAAAGAAAUUGAGUUUUUAUGAAUACCUUCUGUAUUAUGCAAUUCUAUGAGUACUGUGUCUUAUAUGGAAGAACCCAGUCAGCGUGAUGAUAUCUCUCGCCUUACAGUUCAGAUGGAAAACACCUAUCAGUUGGGUGUGUUCUUUUAUCUCUCACUCCUAUUU
rnacentral:lncRNA from 1 species